rnacentral:rRNA from 1 species
CCUACGGGAGGCAGCAGUGAGGAAUAUUGGUCAAUGGACGCAGGGCUGAACCAGCCAAGUCGCGUGAGGGAUGACGGUCCUAUGGAUUGUAAACCUCUUUUGUCAGGGAGCAAAGGGCGCCACGUGUGGCGCUUUGCGAGUACCUGAAGAAAAAGCAUAGGCUAACUCCGUGCCAGCAGCCGCGGUAAUACGGAGGAUGCGAGCGUUAGCCGGAUUUAUUGGGUUUAAAGGGUGCGCAGGCGGAAUGUCAAGUCAGCGGUAAAAUUUCGGGGCUCAACCCCGUCGUGCCGUUGAAACUGGCGUUCUUGAGUGAGCGAGAAGUAUGCGGAAUGCGUGGUGUAGCGGUGAAAUGCAUAGAUAUCACGCAGAACUCCGAUUGCGAAGGCAGCAUACCGGCGCUCAACUGACGCUCAUGCACGAAAGCGUGGGUAUCGAACAGGAUUAGAUACCCGAGUAGUC